rnacentral:rRNA from 1 species
GCUUGUCUCAAAGAUUAAGCCAUGCAUGUCUAAGUACAAGCCUCAGUAAGGUGAAACCGCGAAUGGCUCAUUAAAUCACACCUAAUCUACUGGAAAGUUACUAGUUACUUGGAUAACUGAGGUAAUUCUUGAGCUAAUACAUGCGAAAAAUCUCGACUCACGGAGAGAUGCUUUUAUUAGAUCAAAACCAAACGGCUUCGGCCGUCUCAUUGGUGACUCUGAAUAACUUUGGGCUGAUCGUAUGGCCUUGUGCCGACGACGUUUCCUUCGAAGGUGUGCCCUAUCAACUGUCGAUGGUAGGUUACGCGCCUACCAUGGUUGCAACGGGUAACGGGGAAUCGGGGUUCGAUUCCGGAGAGGGAGCCUGAGAAACGGCUACCACAUCCAAGGAAGGCAGCAG